CACGACUACAUUAGAUACCCGUGUAGUCCAGGGUGUAAACGCUGCGGGCUUGGUGUUGGGGGUCCUUUGAGGGCGCCCAGUGCCGGAGAGAAGUUGUUAAGCCUGCUGCUUGGGGAGUACGUCCGCAAGGAUGAAACUUAAAGGAAUUGGCGGGGGAGCACCGCAACGGGAGGAGCGUGCGGUUCAAUUGGAUUCAACGCCGGACAACUCACCAGGAGCGACGGUUACAUGAAGGCCAGGCUGAUGACCUUGCCUGAUUUUCCG
rnacentral:rRNA from 1 species